rnacentral:rRNA from 1 species
GACGAACGCUGGCGGCGUGCCUAAUACAUGCAAGUAGAACGCUGAAGGAGGAGCUUGCUUCUCCGGAUGAGUUGCGAACGGGUGAGUAACGCGUAGGUAACCUGCCUGGUAGCGGGGGAUAACUAUUGGAAACGAUAGCUAAUACCGCAUAACAGUAGAUAUCGCAUGAUAUCUGCUUGAAAGGUGCAAUUGCAUCACUACCAGAUGGACCUGCGUUGUAUUAGCUAGUUGGUGAGGUAACGGCUCACCAAGGCGACGAUACAUAGCCGACCUGAGAGGGGGAUCGGCCACACUGGGACUGAGACACGGCCCAGACUCCUACGGGAGGCAGCAGUGGGGAAUCUUCGGCAAUGGACGGAAGUCUGACCGAGCAACGCCGCGUGAGUGAAGAAGGUUUUCGGAUCGUAAAGCUCUGUUGUAAGAGAAGAACGAGUGUGAGAGUGGAAAGUUCACACUGUGACGGUAUCUUACCAGAAAGGGACGGCUAACUACGUG